UCAAGCCUUAAAUUUCUGACAGCUUACUUGUGAUCUCAAGACUGUUCAACUUUCUCUUCUCAGAACUGACUGAAUUCCUGGAAAGACAAAUUUUGGUUUCACUUUUGUGUUCUGGGAAAUACAGUUGAUUCAGAAAUGGGACUUUCCCAACUUCCUCCAUGAUUGGUCAGCAUCACACAGAAAGGUGGGAGAGAAGCCAAGUGAGUAUAUAAGCCCUGUUCAGCCACCUUGUGUGUGUUACUUUGCACAGACAGAGAAGAGGUAGAUUUCAGAAGAAGAGCCUAUCAGAGCUACAAAGCCUUAAACAAUAGUAAGCCAUCAACCAGACACAGGAUUUUCUACUAAUCCAGCAAGGCUAUUCAGAUCCCUAAGGUGGAGAGCCAUCACAGAACCCAAAGAAAAAGCUUUCCACUGUUUAACUAAGCCACAGAGCCAGCUCGGAUUCAGGAGGAGGAAACAGAUAAGGGGCACAACAAAAAUUGUUCAUCAGUGUCAUCGUUGUAAGAGAUAACCAUAGACUCCCAUUCUUUUUCCAAACAGCUGAAGCCAUGCUCAGUUCCCAGAGAUGUGGCACCCUUUCCAUGGUGCAGAUCUUCAGUGCUGUAGAAUGCUUCAUCAGAAUCAGCAAGGAAGAGGAUCUAAAAAAGGAGAAAUUUGAGCAGACAAGGACAAAGGGAAGAUGAUGCAAAGAGAUGCAGAAAAAAAAAGUGGCCAUGAAAAAGUAAAGGAAAGAAACCUGGAAUAGAUUCUUCCUUCACAGUCACAUAAGGAAAUAACCCUGAAGACAUCUUGAUUUUGGACUCAAGCCUCCAAAACUAAGGCAAUAAAUUUAUGUUACUUAAGUCAA